GACGAACGCUGGCGGCGUACCUAAUACAUGCAAGUCGAGCGCAGGAAGUCAUCCGAACCCUUCGGGGGGACGUUGACGGAAUGAGCGGCGGACGGGUGAGUAACACGUAAAGAACCUGCCCUCAGGUCUGGGAUAACCACGAGAAAUCGGGGCUAAUACCGGAUGGGUCAUCGGACCGCAUGGUCCGAGGAUGAAAGGCGCUCCGGCGUCGCCUGGGGAUGGCUUUGCGGUGCAUUAGCUAGUUGGUGGGGUAAUGGCCCACCAAGGCGACGAUGCAUAGCCGACCUGAGAGGGUGAUCGGCCACACUGGGACUGAGACACGGCCCAGACUCCUACGGGAGGCAGCAGUAGGGAAUCUUCCACAAUGGACGAAAGUCUGAUGGAGCAACGCCGCGUGAACGAUGAAGGCCCUCGGGUCGUAAAGUUCUGUUGUAAGGGAAGAACAAGUGCCGCAGGCAAUGGCGGCACCUUGACGGUACCUUGCGAGAAAGCCACGGCUAACUACGUG
rnacentral:rRNA from 1 species